CCUGCCUGCUGCAGGCUGAGCUGGUGAACUACGAGCGAGUCAAGGAGUAUUGCCUCAAAGUCCUGAAGAAGGAAGGAGAGAACUUCAAGGCCCUUUACCGGUCUGGUGUGGCCUUCUACCACCUUGGAGACUAUGACAAAGCACUCUACUACCUGAAAGAAGCAAGGACCCGACAGCCAACAGACACCAACGUGGUCCGGUACAUCCAGCUGACGGAGAUGAAACUCAGCAGGUGCUCGCAGAGAGAGAAGGAAGCCAUGUAACAGCCGCAGCGGCCCCAGAGCGGGGCCUUGCAGGCAGCCCCCUGGAAGGGGUGAAGAGCCCCUCCUGGGCUGGGUUCCCUGCUCCCCACUUCUGGCUCCCCCUUCUUCUUCCUGCUGCCCCUCAACAAUCCAUCUGCUCCCAGUGUGAAAAGAAGAGAGACCUGCAGCUUUGGAACCUGGCAGGUUGCUGCCACGGAGACUCCCCUUCUGUAGCAGGUCAGCUACUGGCAGGGCCCUAACUUCUUCGGGGACAGCUGGAGAGGACUCUUACAGGGCCGAGAAUGCUGCUGCAACUUUGACUUUGGCCAGGGCUUCUGAGAGAGCCAGAGCCCGGCAGGUGGACCAUCCCAACGGCAGCAGGCACGGAGCCCACGGGCUGGACCCCUCCACACUUUCCAGACAGACCAGAGCAUCUCAAGGCAACCGUGACAAAUCCAGGGAUGAGACAAACAGCAGAAGCAUCGGAUGUCACUGCUGGACUGUACCUGGAGCACUAAUCCUGGAUCUGACCUGCUUUGUCAUUUCCUGCUUGGACUUUUGUGAUAGACUCUUUGGGGAAAAGAUUAUACUUUUCUUGUUAUUGUUAUGAAAGCCUCACAUGUGUAUUGUAGAAAUUUUAAUGGGGGCGGGAGAGACAAACUCCAAUCCAUCAUCUACCACCCAAGACAAACAUUGCUAUCCUUUUGGACUUAUCUUUCAGUUCUUUUUGGUAUAAAUGUACACAUGCACAUGCAGUUUUUUUUAACAAAAACUGGAUUAUACUGUAUAUAUACUCUUUAGUAACUUACUUUUCAAAAUGUGUAUUUAUAUUUUAGAAUAUGUAAUACAUACACAGAUACAAAAUUCAAAAAGGACACAAAGCUCUAUAGUAAGAAGUAAAUCUCCUUCCCACCCCAUCUGCCAGCAUCUAGUUUCCCUCCAAUUACUUGUACUGUAUAUCCUUCCAGAAACAUUUAUGCAUUUUCAAAUAUAUGUGUAUAUAUUCUCUUGUCAUAAAUGGUAGCAUAUCAGACUUUUUUUUUUUUUUUUUUUUUGCACUUUGGGCUACUUCACUUACUAGAGCAUGAACGAAACAUUUUUUGUGUGUCUCCCAAACUUUCUCAACAGCAUCCUCAUUAUGCAGCUAGACUCUCACUUGGUAACCCGUCUCCUUUCAGUGACUAUUUCAUUUGUUCCCAUUCUCUAUUGUAAAUAAUGUUGCAGCAGACAUUCUUGUAGCUAAAUUUUGCACACACCUAUGGCUAUCUCCUUGGGAUAAAAUCCAAGAAGGAAAUUGCUUGGCUAUCUUUAAGAAUUUUGAUAUAUGCUGCCAACUGCCCUCGGAAAGUCUGUACUAAACUUCACACUCUCCUGUUUGCAGGCUUGAGAGUGCCCCGUUCCCUGCAACCUCACUAACAGUGGGUAUGGUCACUUACCAAAUCUUUACCAGUCCAGUAGGAAAAUAAUACUAUGUCAAUGUUAUUUGAACUCACUUCUUUGAUUA
ensembl:lncRNA